rnacentral:rRNA from 1 species
AGCACCUACGGGUGUGAAGUCAUUGAUGCCAUGCUUCCAGGAAAAGCCUCUAAGCUUCAGAUUGUAAGGAAUCGUACCCCAAACCGACACAGGUGGUCGGGUAGAGAAUACCAAGGCGCUUGAGAGAACUCGGGUGAAGGAACUAGGCAAAAUGGUACCGUAACUUCGGGAGAAGGUACGCUCUCGACGGUGAAGUCCCUUGCGGAUGGAGCUAUUGAGAGUCGCAGAUACCAGGUGGCUGCAACUGUUUAUUAAAAACACAGCACUGUGCAAAAUCGUAAGAUGACGUAUACGGUGUGACGCCUGCCCGGUGCCGGAAGGUUAAUUGAUGGGGUUAGACUUCGGUCGAAGCUCUUGAUCGAAGCCCCGGUAAACGGCGGCCGUAACUAUAACGGUCCUAAGGUAGCGAAAUUCCUUGUCGGGUAAGUUCCGACCUGCACGAAUGGCGUAAUGAUGGCCACGCUGUCUCCACCCGAGACUCAGUGAAAUUGAAAUCGCUGUGAAGAUGCAGUGUACCCGCGGCUAGACGGAAAGACCCCGUGAACCUUUACUACAGCUUGGCACUGAACAUUGACCCUACAUGUGUAGGAUAGGUGGGAGGCUUUGAAGCACGUACGCCAGUAUGUGUGGAGCCGUCCUUGAAAUACCACCCUUGUAGUGUUGAUGUUCUAACGUCGACCCCUAAUCGGGGUUGCGGACAGUGCCUGGUGGGUAGUUUGACUGGGGCGGUCUCCUCCCAAAGAGUAACGGAGGAGCACGAAGGUGGGCUAAUCACGGUUGGACAUCGUGAGGUUAGUGCAAUGGCAUAAGCCCGCUUGACUGCGAGAAUGACAAUUCGAGCAGGUGCGAAAGCAGGUCAUAGUGAUCCGGUGGUUCUGAAUGGAAGGGCCAUCGCUCAACGGAUAAAAGGUACUCCGGGGAUAACAGGCUGAUACCGCCCAAGAGUUCAUAUCGACGGCGGUGUUUGGCACCUCGAUGUCGGCUCAUCACAUCCUGGGGCUGAAGUCGGUCCCAAGGGUAUGGCUGUUCGCCAUUUAAAGUGGUACGCGAGCUGGGUUUAGAACGUCGUGAGACAGUUCGGUCCCUAUCUGCCGUGGGCGUUGGAAGAUUGAAGGGGGCUGCUCCUAGUACGAGAGGACCGGAGUGGACGAACCUCUGGUGUUCGGGUUGUGUCGCCAGACGCAUUGCCCGGUAGCUAAGUUCGGAAUCGAUAACCGCUGAAAGCAUCUAAGCGGGAAGCGAGCCCUGAGAUGAGUCUUCCCUGAUACUUUAAGUAUCCUAAAGGGUUGUCGGAGACUACGACGUUGAUAGGUCAGGUGUGUAAGUGCUGUGAGGCAUUGAGCUAACUGAUACUAAUUGCCCGUGAGGCUUAACCAU